AUUGAACGCUGGCGGCACGCCUUACACAUGCAAGUCGAACGGCAGCGGGGGAGAAGCUUGCUUUUCCUGCCGGCGAGUGGCGAACGGGUGAGUAAUACAUCGGAACGUGCCCUGUAGUGGGGGAUAACUAGUCGAAAGAUUAGCUAAUACCGCAUACGACCUGAGGGUGAAAGUGGGGGACCGCAAGGCCGCAUGCUAUAGGAGCGGCCGAUGUCUGAUUAGCUAGUUGGUGGGGUAAAGGCCUACCAAGGCGACGAUCAGUAGCUGGUCUGAGAGGACGAUCAGCCACACUGGGACUGAGACACGGCCCAGACUCCUACGGGAGGCAGCAGUGGGGAAUUUUGGACAAUGGGCGAAAGCCUGAUCCAGCAAUGCCGCGUGUGUGAAGAAGGCCUUCGGGUUGUAAAGCACUUUUGUCCGGAAAGAAAUGGCUCUGGUUAAUACCUGGGGUCGAUGACGGUACCGGAAGAAUAAGGACCGGCUAACUACGUGCCAGCCGCCGCAGUAA
rnacentral:rRNA from 1 species